rnacentral:rRNA from 1 species
GAUGAACGCUGGCGGCGUGCUUAACACAUGCAAGUCGAACGGGAAACUUUUCAUUGAAGCUUCGGCAGAUUUGGUCUGUUUCUAGUGGCGGACGGGUGAGUAACGCGUGGGUAACCUGCCUUAUACAGGGGGAUAACAACCAGAAAUGGUUGCUAAUACCGCAUAAGCGCACAGGACCGCAUGGUCCGGUGUGAAAAACUCCGGUGGUAUAAGAUGGACCCGCGUUGGAUUAGCUAGUUGGCAGGGUAACGGCCUACCAAGGCGACGAUCCAUAGCCGGCCUGAGAGGGUGAACGGCCACAUUGGGACUGAGACACGGCCCAGACUCCUACGGGAGGCAGCAGUGGGGAAUAUUGCACAAUGGGGGAAACCCUGAUGCAGCGACGCCGCGUGAAGGAAGAAGUAUCUCGGUAUGUAAACUUCUAUCAGCAGGGAAGAUAGUGACGG